AGACGCGCAGAAAGUUCCCCUUCUCAGGAAGGCCUUCCCCAUCUGCCCCAUUUAAGGCUUCUCAAGUCUGAUGAAGAAGCUGACAGCACGAAGGAGCCUCAGAAUGAAUUGUUUGAAGCCCAAGGGAGCAGAUGACCAGGG